rfam:Homo sapiens chromosome 1, GRCh38 reference primary assembly.
GGUUGUACAGCUUAGAGCUUAAGAGCCUGGACUCUGGAAUCAGAGUGUCUGGGUUCAAAUCCCAGCUCUGCCA